CUCAGCGGCAUAAGCACCUGCCUUGCAUGCAGGCAGUCGUGAGUUUGAGUUUGAUCCCCGGUACCGGGGUAAAAAAGAAAAAACAAAACAAAACCCAGCGCACUCUAUCACUGAGUUAUACCCCCAUCCCGCUUUUAUUUAUGGCUUCGAGACAGGGUUUCCAUCGCCCUCGUUUGCUUUGAACUUGUGAUCCUCCUGUGUCUGUCUGUCAGGAGCUAGAUUAUAGGAGUAGCCACCACCCCUGGCUGUGCAUUCAGUGGAAACACCUCUGAGAACAGUCAGCAAAAAGGGGGAGGGGCUUCAGGAUUGCAGCUCUAUGUGAGCAUUUUAAUACAAGUAAAAAAAUUAAAGGUUUAGGUAAUUAAUAAACAAGAUCUAAUAAACAUGAAAGAACACGCUUAGACUUUGUAACCCAGAGAGUCCAUGUUCUUUUUUCUUUUUUGUACCAGGGAUCGAACUCAUGAUUGCAUACUUACAAGGCAGGCGCUUAGGCUGUUUGAGCUAAAUCUCCAGCUCUUUUUUGUGUAUGUUUGAGACAGCGUUUCACUAUGCGGCUCAGGCUGCCCUUGAGCUCACUUUGCAGGCCCAGCUGGUCUUUAAGGAUUCUCCUGCCUUAGCCUCCCAUGUUUUUAACCGGCAAAUUGGAAAUUUACCCAAAGUGGCCAUGAUCUAAGGCAUAAAUAAAAUAGAUUCUCCCAUGCACAAGAGAGCCCCAAACCCAUAACUAAUUGUGACCAAAAAGUAACGCAAUUAGAAAUUACAAAAGGAUAAAACACUCAUUGACGUGGACAUUCCCAAACAUCCUUCUGUGAGAGUCGACCCCCCUGCUACAACCCCCUCCCCAGAGCGGAGAAUGAAAGGGUUAACUCCCUAACUCCCCAGAGCGGGGAAUGAAAGGGUUAACUCCCUAACUCCCCAGAGCAGGGAAUGAAAGGGUUGACUCCCUAACUCCCCGGAGCUCUCAGAACAGAGCAGUAAAGAGUGCUUCACUCCCUAAACCUUUCCCAGGAGAUAGUCAGAGCAGGGCCAAAAAGAAUGUACUAUAUAAACAGGACCAGGGAGCACCUGGCACUCUAAGGUCAACCCAAGACCCUCGGUCUCCAUGGUUACUCAGCCCCAGACCCUCAAAUCAGCAUUAGCCAGGUCCUGCGCCGCUCAAAAUUAACCAAUGCGAUUUGCUUCUGUAAACUUGCUUGCCUCCUACAUGUACCUUUAAAAACCCUACACAAAUUCCCCUCGGGGCCCCUCUGCACUUGUUUGCCUGAGGGACCCCAUGCGCAUGGAAAUAAACUUUUUUUCCUCACCAAGAGUUGAGUCCUUGGGGUCUCUUUCCCUGCGGCGUCGGCCCUAACAUCUUGGAGGCCCCAGCGAGAUAGCACGUCUCAUGGAAGGUGACCUCAACGGCUCUGCGGUGGGUGAGUACGACCGGUCGCUUCUUAUUUUUACUCUGAGGAUCAAUCUACCGGUAUUUUACGCCCCGAGCCAAACGGCUCCGGUCUAGGGGCAAUUUUUGUUACCUGUUUUUGUUAUCUGUUCUCUGUUCUUGGGUGAUCGGGGGACGCCCCACACGGUUUUCCGUGACUCACCGUCUGCGAUAGGAUUUUCCUAUCGGUUUGGGGCCCAAUCUGUGGUCCGUCAGGGCCAAUUCGGAGACACCCUCUGAGGUGACUCGUUUGGGGAAUUUCAUUCCCAAUCUGUGGUCCGUCUGGGCCAAUCUGGGGAAUUUCAUUCCCAAUCUGUGGUCCGUCCGGGCCAAUCUGGAGGCACCCCCUAAGGUGACUCGUUUGAUGUGAAACUAAUGCGUGAGAGUGAGGUGGCCGGCCUGUUUGUCCUGUGUGUUGUGACUGUUGUGAUCAGUUAUUUGUUGUGUCGCGCGUACGCUAACCACUCUUUGUCUUCAGAACACCAUGGGACAAAUGACAUCGUCCCCAUUGUCCCUCACCCUCGACCAUUGGUCGGAGGUUCGAGAGAGGGCUCACAAUCUCUCCUUUCAGGUUAAAAAAGUAAAUGGCAGACUUUCUGCUCGUCUGAGUGGCCCACAUUCUCCGUGGAUUGGCCACCAGAGGGGACUUUCCACCUUCCCCUCAUCUUAGCAGUUAAGAACAUCAUCUUCCGCCCUGGACGAGAGAGCCACCCCGACUGGGUCACCUACAUCUUGUCCCUACAGACACUCCAACCUGUGUUGGCCUGGAUCCACCAGCUGUUUAGACAAAAACACUUGGACCUGCCUUCAGAGACCAAGGCCUCAAGGACUCCAGUCUUGGUUCGAUGUCACCACCGUGACUCCCUUAAACCCCGCUGAGAAAGACCUUUCACCGUGGUGCUCAGUACCCCCACUGCCAUCAAGGUAGCAGGAAAAACUGCGCGGAUUCACUACACUCAUGUAAAGCCACUGGAAACAGCAGACAACGAGGGACAUACUCAGUGGACUACACAACAGACUGGUAACCCUUAAAGUUAAAAAUUGACUAACUGUUUUAGCUUGCUUGUUUUGAUUUUAAUAACAUUAAUGCCGACCUUACAUGGCGGCUUUGGUCCCCCUGUAAGCAAAAAAAAACCAAUUGUUAAAGAUCUUUUGUUUUAAAAAAAAAAAAAAAAAAAAGGGGGGUCUCUGCGCCGCACUUAAAAAAAAAAUGUUGUUUUUACACUGAUCAUACUGGGAUUGUAAAAGAUACAAUAAAAAAGUUGAGAUAGAAAAUCAGAUCUCAAGAGCCCCCUUCAAAUAAAGCCAAAGUGUUCUCUUUCCGAGAAUCAAUUCUGCCCUAUAUCCUCCCUUUAUUGAGACCCCUGGCCGGAUUCAUUAUAGUCAUGGCUAUAGCCCCUUGCCUCAUUAACCGAGUAACCCGGUUUGUAAGGGCUCAGAUCUCUCAGGUAAAAGUUAUGGUGCUACGUCAACAAUAUGACCCCUUACCUAUACAGGACUUUUAGGAUUAAAAGUCAUUGGAGAAAUAAAAGGGGGGAAUGUGAGAGUCGACCCCCCUGCUACAACCCCCUCCCCAGAGCGGAGAAUGAAAGGGUUAACUCCCUAACUCCCCAGAGCGGGGAAUGAAAGGGUUAACUCCCUAACUCCCCAGAGCAGGGAAUGAAAGGGUUGACUCCCUAACUCCCCGGAGCUCUCAGAACAGAGCAGUAAAGAGUGCUUCACUCCCUAAACCUUUCCCAGGAGAUAGUCAGAGCAGGGCCAAAAAGAAUGUACUAUAUAAACAGGACCAGGGAGCACCUGGCACUCUAAGGUCAACCCAAGACCCUCGGUCUCCAUGGUUACUCAGCCCCAGACCCUCAAAUCAGCAUUAGCCAGGUCCUGCGCCGCUCAAAAUUAACCAAUGCGAUUUGCUUCUGUAAACUUGCUUGCCUCCUACAUGUACCUUUAAAAACCCUACACAAAUUCCCCUCGGGGCCCCUCUGCACUUGUUUGCCUGAGGGACCCCAUGCGCAUGGAAAUAAACUUUUUUUCCUCACCAA